AUGCGCGGCCACGUCUGGCUCGACGCUAGCGUGCUCGGAACGCUGGGGCCCAGCGCUGCCGGGGAGGACUAGCUCCCGCCGAACCGGGUGUCCGAGGACACCUUACGCUGAAUGUACACCAACCCGACGGGCCACCCUUCUGGGCUCCGGAUCACACGCAUCGCUGCCGAGGCCGUACGGCUUGUGGGAGGCGGGGGUGCGCGGUUGGUUGUUCUCGUGGACGACGACACUGUGCUGUCCCCGGACAACCUCAUGGCGUGCUCGGGAAGUAUGACUAGAGGGAGAUGGUGUACGUCGGGGCCUUGUCGGAGAGCCACUCGGCCAGCACCUAUUUCAGCCACGGCAAGGCGUUCGGAGGCGGAGACUGAGCGCUCAGCUCCACCAUCGGCACUGUGCUCACGUGGACACUCGACGUGUGCAUCGAGAGGUACCCCAGGCUGUAUGGAAGCAAUGACCGCCUCCAUGCUUGCAUCACCGAGCUUAGCGUACCACUUCCGUGCGAAUAUGGAUUCCAUCAGGUAUGUUUGGGUGUUCAUAUUUUUGAUAGCCAAAUACGAAUAG
rnacentral:rRNA from 1 species